GAUGAACGCUGGCGGCGUGCCUAAUACAUGCAAGUCGAGCGAACAGAUGAGGAGCUUGCUCCUCUGACGUUAGCGGCGGACGGGUGAGUCACACGUGGAUAACCUACCUAUAAGACUGGGAUCACUUCGGGAAACCGGCGCUAAUACCGGAUAAUAUAUUGAACCGCAUGGUUCAAUAGUGAAAGACGGUUUUGCUGUCACUUAUAGAUGGAUCCGCGCCGCAUUAGCUAGUUGGUACGGUAACGGCUUACGAAGGCAACGAUGCGUAGCCGACCUGAGAGGGUGAUCGGCCACACGGGAAGUUAGACACGGUCCAGACUCCUACGGGAGGCAGCAGUAGGGAAUCUGACGCAAUGGGCGAAAGCCUUACGGAGCAACGCGGCGUGAGUGAUGAAGGUCUUCGGAUCGUAAUACUCUGUUAUUAGGGAAGAACAAAUGUGGAAGUAACUAUGCACGUCUUGACGGUACCUAAUCAGAAAGCCACGGCUAACUACGUG
rnacentral:rRNA from 1 species